GAUGAACGCUAGCGGCAGGCCUAAUACAUGCAAGUCGAACGGCGUCUUCGGACAUAGUGGCGCACGGGUGCGUAACACGUGUGCAACCUACCUUACAUUGGGGGAUAGCCUUUCGAAAGGGAGAUUAAUACCGCAUAAGACAGUAGCUGGGCAUCCAGCAGCUGUUAAAGAUUUAUCGAUGUAAGCUGGGCAUGCGUCCAAUUAGCUAGUUGGUGAGGUAACGGCUCACCAAGGCAAUGAUUGGUAGGGGAACUGAGAGGUCAAUCCCCCACACUGGCACUGAGAUACGGGCCAGACUCCUACGGGAGGCAGCAGUAGGGAAUAUUGGGCAAUGGACGCAAGUCUGACCCAGCCAUGCCGCGUGCAGGAUGAAGGCGUUAUGCGUUGUAAACUGCUUUUAUACAGGAAGAAACGACUCUUGCGAGAGGCAUUGACGGUACUGUAUGAAUAAGCACCGGCUAACUCCGUGCCAGCCGCCGCCGUAAAAC
rnacentral:rRNA from 1 species